AGUGGGAUAGCUGGGUCAAAUGAUGGUUUCAUUCCAAGUUUAUGAGGUAUCUCCAUACUGCUUUUCAUAGUUGUUGCAUCAAUAUGCAGUCCCACCAGCAAU
rnacentral:pre_miRNA from 1 species